rnacentral:rRNA from 1 species
AUUGAACGCUGGCGGCAGGCCUAACACAUGCAAGUCGAGCGGAGCGGCGGACGGGUGAGUAAUGACUAGGAAUCUGCCUGGUAGUGGGGGAUAACGUCCGGAAACGGGCGCUAAUAACGUAUACUAUCAGCUGAGCCUAGGAGGGAUUAGCUAGUUGGUGGGGUAAAGGCCUACCAAGGCGACGAUCCGUAACUGGUCUGAGAGGAUGAUCAGUCACACUGGAACUGAGACACGGUCCAGACUCCUACGGGAGGCAGCAGUGGGGAAGAUUGGACAAUGGGCGAAAGCCUGAUGCAGCCAUGCCGCGUGUGUGAAGAAGGUCUUCGGAUUGUAAAGCACUUUAAGUUGGGAGGCGUUACCAACAGAAUAAGCACCGGCUAACUUCGUGCCAGCAGCCGCGGUAAUAC